GAUGAACGCUGGCGGCGUGCCUAAUACAUGCAAGUCGAGCGAACGGACGAGAAGCUUGCUUCUCUGAUGUUAGCGGCGGACGGGUGAGUAACACGUGGAUAACCUACCUAUAAGACUGGGAUAACUUCGGGAAACCGGAGCUAAUACCGGAUGAUAUUUUGAACCGCAUGGUUCAAAAGUGAAAGACGGUCUUGCUGUCACUUCUAGAUGGAUCCGCGCUGCAUUAGCUAGUUGGUAAGGUAACGGCUUACCAAGGCAACGAUGCAUAGCCGACCUGAGAGGGUGAUCGGCCACACUGGAACUGAGACACGGUCCAGAGUCCUACGGGAGGCAGCAGUAGGGAAUCUUCCGCAAUGGGCGAAAGCCUGACGGAGCAACGCCGCGUGAGUGAUGAAGGUCUUCGGAUCGUAAAACUCUGUUAUUAGGGAAGAACAUAUGUGUAAGUAACUGUGCACAUCUUGACGGUACCUAAUCAGAAAGCCACGGCUAACUACGUG
rnacentral:rRNA from 1 species